CACUCCUACGGGAGGCAGCAGUGGGGAAUUUUGGACAAUGGGCGAAAGCCUGAUCCAGCCAUGCCGCGUGCAGGAUGAAGGCCUUCGGGUUGUAAACUGCUUUUGUACGGAACGAAACGGCCUUUUCUAAUAAAGAGGGCUAAUGACGGUACCGUAAGAAUAAGCACCGGCUAACUACGUGCCAGCAGCCGCGGUAAUACGUAGGGUGCAAGCGUUAAUCGGAAUUACUGGGCGUAAAGCGUGCGCAGGCGGUUAUGUAAGACAGUUGUGAAAUCCCCGGGCUCAACCUGGGAACUGCAUCUGUGACUGCAUAGCUAGAGUACGGUAGAGGGGGAUGGAAUUCCGCGUGUAGCAGUGAAAUGCGUAGAUAUGCGGAGGAACACCGAUGGCGAAGGCAAUCCCCUGGACCUGUACUGACGCUCAUGCACGAAAGCGUGGGGAGCAAACAGGAUUAGAAACCCUUGUAGUCCCA
rnacentral:rRNA from 1 species